rnacentral:tRNA from 1 species
GACUUGGUAGCUCAGUUGGUAGAGCAUCUCCCUUUUAAGGAGAGGGUCCUGGGUUCGAGCCCCAGCCAGGUCACUA